UACGUAGGGGGCAAGCGUUGUCCGGAAUCAUUGGGCGUAAAGCGCGUGUAGGCGGCUUGGUAAGUCUGCUCUGAAAGCCCGGGGCUCAACCCCGGGAGGCGGGUGGAUACUGUCAAGCUCGAGUCCGGAAGAGGAGUGUGGAAUUCCUGGUGUAGCGGUGAAAUGCGCAGAUAUCAGGAGGAACACCCAAUGGCGAAGGCAGGUCAUCUGGCGAUUAACUGCGCUGAGGAGCGAAGACAUGGGGAGCGAACAGGAUUAGAACGUACCC
rnacentral:rRNA from 1 species